UUAAAAAAAAAUCACUGGUUUAUGUCUCUUCCGUAACAUGCGGCAUAUAUUGAUAGUGGGAGUCCUUUAUAUACAUGCUCCUGAUGCCCUUAUCUCAAGGGCGGCCUAAAUGUACAUGCUUAAGUUUACACAGCAAAUGCGCCUUUCCAGAAUGAUGUGUUAUUAUUUGGGCAUAUCUUAUAAGGUUUAUUCCUCCAAAACUAGGAAAGCAUCUUUAUCAACGCGAAACCAAAUAGUUCAUGGCGAACCUCUGACUAAAC
rnacentral:lncRNA from 1 species